AUACGGAGGGGACUAGCGUUGUUCGGAAUUACUGGGCGUAAAGCGUACGUAGGCGGAUCAGAAAGUAUGGGGUGAAAUCCCAGGGCUCAACCCUGGAACUGCCUCAUAAACUCCUGGUCUUGAGUUCGAGAGAGGUGAGUGGAAUUCCGAGUGUAGAGGUGAAAUUCGUAGAUAUUCGGAGGAACACCAGUGGCGAAGGCGGCUCACUGGCUCGAUACUGACGCUGAGGUACGAAAGUGUGGGGAGCAAACAGGAUUAGAAACCCGAGUAGUCC
rnacentral:rRNA from 1 species